rnacentral:rRNA from 1 species
GAUGAACGCUGGCGGCGUGCCUAAUACAUGCAAGUCGAGCAAACAGACGAGGAGCUUGCUCCUCUGACGUUAGCGGCGGACGGGUGAGUAACACGUGGAUAACCUACCUAUAAGACUGGGAUAACUUCGGGAAACCGGAGCUAAUACCGGAUAAUAUAUUGAACCGCAUGGUUCAAUAGUGAAAGACGGUUUUGCUGUCACUUAUAGAUGGAUCCGCGCCGCAUUAGCUAGUUGGUAAGGUAACGGCUUACCAAGGCAACGAUGCGUAGCCGACCUGAGAGUGUGAGCCGCCACUCUGAAUGUGACACGGUCCAGACUCCUACGGGAGGCAGCAGUAGGGAAUCUUCCGCAAUGGGCGAAAGCCUGACGGAGCAACGCCGCGUGAGUGAUGAAGGUCUUCGGAUCGUAAAACUCUGUUAUUAGGGAAGAACAAAUGUGUAAGUAACUAUGCACGUCUUGACGGUACCUAAUCAGAAAGCCACGGCUAACUACGUG